GUUGAAAGACCGUCCGAAAGCUGUACACUCAAUCUCACCAUCGUCUCUUGCGGUUGACCACGGAUGUACUGGCGGGCGUAACUGGGGCGAGCGAAAAAGGCCGGUACGAUAUGUCGUUCCGACCUUUUUUUGU
rnacentral:sRNA from 1 species